rnacentral:rRNA from 1 species
UCUGGUAAUGAUGGCGAAGAGGUCACACCCGUUCCCAUGCCGAACACGGAAGUUAAGCUCUUCAGCGCCGAUG